rnacentral:rRNA from 1 species
GUCCACGCCCUAAACGUUGCACAUUAGCUAUUGGGAGCAUCGACCCUCCCAGUGGCGUAGCUAACGCGUUAAAUGUGCCACCUGGGAAGUACGAGCGCAAGCUUAAAACUCAAAUGAAUAGGCGGGAGUUCGCACAAGCGGUGGAUCAUGUGGUUCAAUUCGACACUGAGCGAAAAACCUCACCAGGGCUUGAAAUCCAGCUGCACGCCAUCCGAAAGGAGGAAGCCUUCGAGGGUGCUGGACAGGUGCUGCACGGCUAUCGU